UACGUAGGUGGCUAGCGUUGUCCGGAUUUACUGGGCGUAAAGAGCGCGCAGGCGGUCGUUCAAGUCGAGUGUGAAAGCCCCCCGGCUCAACUGGGGAGGGUCACUCGAUACUGAUCGACUUGAAGGCGGGAGAGGGAAGCGGAAUUCCCGGUGUAGUGGUGAAAUGCGUAGAUAUCUGGAGGAACACCGGUGGCGAAGGCGGCAUUCUGGACCGAUAUUGACGCUGAGGAGCGAAAGCCAGGGGAGCAAAGCGGG
rnacentral:rRNA from 1 species